AUUUAUUCAUUGGAACAUAUGGCUCAAUGAAUUAUUCUACAUGAUAAAUCUCCACUGAGUCAGCGUGCUAACCAUUCAGGCCCCAAACCUUCUGACAGUGGCAAAACCUCCUGCCAAGUGGUGUUAUUCAGAAGAACAGAGGGUAAGAGAAAAUAAAUUGCAUGCAGCAUUGGUUAUUUGAGAGUGCUCCUGUGAUCUGUAUAAGGCGAGGGGAGACGAUGUGCUUCACUUCAUCUGAGACUUCUUCGUAGGGGUGGAGGGGCAUUUAACUUUUUUUUUUUUCCUAAUCAGUGAUUGCUUGGAAAGCACAUAGUGUUUAGUAGGCAGACUCUAGUUUCCAGACAUAUCUCAAUCUGUUUCCAUCUAUCUGGAUUUGGAGCAAUCUGGACCUCUUCCAACAUUCUCUUGGCUCUGUGGCCCAUUUAUCCUGAGCUGUGUUAAUGAACAAGAUGUGCUGAUUUACACAAGAGACUCACUUCUUCACUGAGGAGGUUCUUACGGCUGACUCGCUAUACCUGACCAUGAAGAUGAUGCUCUCUACUGAAUUACAUCAGCACAAGGAAUUUACAGAAACUGGAUGUGGCUAUGAGAAAAAACAAAGCAGACACAGUUUUGCUGGGACAACAGUGGUCGUCAGCCAUGUGGAUGUAUGCUCUAGCAGACUGACCCACUGGGCCUGCAUGCUACAAUUGGAGGGAAUCUCAAAGGCCUUCUGCUCUUCCACUUCGUGUGUAAUUGGGACAAGACCUCUGUUGUGACCUGCUGUGACACUCUUACUCCCACAGUAUUUAAGGUUGGAACUACCUCUUCACUAGGCUUUUAAGAAGCCAGUCAAGAAGUCAGGAAACAACAGGUGCUGGAGAGGAUGUGGAGAAAUAGGAACACUUUUACACUGUUGGUGGGAUUGUAAACUAGUUCAACCAUUAUGGAAAACAGUAUGACGAUUCCUCAAGGAUCUAGAACUAGAUGUACCAUAUGACCCAGCCAUCCCAUUACUGGGUAUAUACCCAAAGGAUUAUAAAUCAUGCUGCU
rnacentral:lncRNA from 1 species